AUUGAACGCUGGCGGCAUGCCUUACACAUGCAAGUCGAACGGCAGCACGGGAGCAAUCCUGGUGGCGAGUGGCGAACGGGUUAGUAAAGUAUCGGAACGUGCCCAGUCGUGGGGGAUAACGUAGCGAAAGUUACGCUAAUACCGCAUACGAUCUAUGGAUGAAAGCGGGGGAUCGCAAGACCUCGCGCGAUUGGAGCGGGCGAUAUCAGAUUAGGUAGUUGGAGGGGUAAAGGCUCACCAAGCCGACGAUCUGUAGCUGGUCUGAGAGGACGACCAGCCAAACUGGGACUGAGACACGGCCCAGACUCCUACGGGAGGCAGCAGUGGGGAAUUUUGGACAAUGGGCGAAAGCCUGAUCCGGCCAUGCCGCGUGCAGGAUGAAGGCCUUCGGGUUGUAAACUGCUUUUGUACGGAACGAAAAGGUUUGGCCUAAUAAGCUGAGCUCAUGACGGUACCGUAAGAAUAAACACCGGCUAACUACGUGCCAGCCGCCGCGGUAA
rnacentral:rRNA from 1 species